UGGGGAAUAUUGGACAAUGGGGGAAACCCUGAUCCAGCAAUGCCGCGUGUGUGAUGAAGGCCUUCGGGUUGUAAAGCACUUUUGUCAGGGACGAUGAUGACGGUACCUGACGAAUAAGCUCCGGCUAACUUCGUGCCAGCAGCCGCGGUAAUACGAGGGGAGCUAGCGUUGUUCGGAAUUACUGGGCGUAAAGGGCGUGUAGGCGGUACCAUAAGUCAGAUGUGAAAGCCCUAGGCUUAACCUAGGAGGUGCAUUUGAUACUGUGGAACUAGAGAUCGAGAGAGGAAAGUGGAAUUACGAGUGUAGAGGUGAAAUUCGUAGAUAUUCGUAAGAACACCAGUGGCGAAGGCGACUUUCUGGCUCGAUACUGACGCUAAGGCGCGAAAGCAUGGGGAGCAAACAGGAUUAGAUACCCCGGUAGUCCCUGAGCGGGCUGGCAAGGCGCAU
rnacentral:rRNA from 1 species